rnacentral:rRNA from 1 species
AUUGAACGCUGGCGGCAGGCUUAACACAUGCAAGUCGAGCGGGCAUAGCAAUAUGUCAGCGGCAGACGGGUGAGUAACGCGUGGGAACGUACCUUUUGGUUCGGAACAACUGAGGGAAACUUCAGCUAAUACCGGAUAAGCCCUUACGGGGAAAGAUUCAUCGCCGAAAGAUCGGCCCGCGUCUGAUUAGCUAGUUGGUGAGGUAAUGGCUCACCAAGGCGACGAUCAGUAGCUGGUCUGAGAGGAUGAUCAGCCACAUUGGGACUGAGACACGGCCCAAACUCCUACGGGAGGCAGCAGUGGGGAAUAUUGGACAAUGGGCGCAAGCCUGAUCCAGCCAUGCCGCGUGAGUGAUGAAGGCCCUAGGGUUGUAAAGCUCUUUUGUGCGGGAAGAUAAUGACGGUACCGCAAGAAUAAGCCCCGGCUAACUUCGUGCCAGCAGCCGCAGUAA